rnacentral:lncRNA from 1 species
AUGGCUUCAGCAACAGGAGUGGGAGGAGAUGAGGAUUGGGAAAGAGAUUUAUUUACUGCAAAGUACCCCAAAUAUCUUAUUAAUUUGCUUUUCACUUGGCAAACUUUUCUUUCAUUCAGAGUGCUAUGCUGUGCAGUGCAGGGUAAAGUAAAUAUGCCUCCAGGAAGGCCAGGAAGCCCAGUGGAAAGACCGUGGGCUGCAGAAGGAGCCAGGCCACCUCUGAUGUCCAGGCAUUUUGCAGGUCAUUAUGGCACAAAUUACCGACACGUGGCCACACACAGCAAGUGCGACCAAGAGGACGCGUUCUUCUCCGACAAAUCCAGUGGCUUUUAGUGUACACAGUAAGAAAGAAAUCGAACCUGAGGUUGUGGGUGGCAAAUGCAGAAGCGGAUCAUUCUUCCAAACCUCAUUUCCUUCAAAGUUUCCGGCGAACAGAAGCACAAACUCCAAAAUGUGAGUCUCCUAUUGCCUGGGGGAUAGAACGUCCAAGUACUUUGAAUAUUUUUGCAAUAACUUUCCUUAAUACUCUACGCCACCGAGAAACCCCGCAGGCCUGUAAAUCCUAGCAAAGCCAUUGUUUCCUGCUCAAAACCUGCCUUUGGGUUUGGCUUCCGUUCUUGUUUUUACGGAUGAAUAACAUUUUCAAUCAAGUUGUUGUUCUGGCUACUCUGGGAACCAGGCUAAGUCUGAGUAAACCUUGUCUUCCAUUUCAUGCUCCCUGGCUUUUCUUUCUCUUUCCCAUCUCAGCUAGAACGUGAGGGUGCACAGUCUGGGAACCGGGCAGGUGCAAGGGAGUUGCUGUGCAAUGGGACAAUGUGCUUCUGAAAUCUCAAGUUGCUUUACCCAUGAGAAGAGGGUCCCUCACCGGUCAACCAAGGACGGAGUAGCACAGGUCAGGCUUCAGGAAGACUUCACUGCAGGGGUCCUGGUCUGUAUCUCCCUUCCUGUCCACCCCUCCUCUCCUGUGGCUCCCCCACAGUGGUCCAUACAGAUUCGCACCACAAAGUUCUAGUCCCCUUACUGGGCUGUAUGUCUCCCUCUUGUCACCAGACUGAAAGCCUUUGGAGUCAAUGCUUUGCCUUAUUUGUUUUAGGAAUCUCUAAAUCGGGCUUGCAGUGUCUGUUAUGUAUUGGUUUUAGAGCAAUUUUUAUUAAAGGCCUAACUAGCUAAUUGGGCAGUUGACUGAUGGAAGGAAUGUGGCAGACAAAAACACCUUGUAAACCUAACCCUGGGCGAAUGCUAAGGUGUUACUUCGUGGGAUUCCAUGAAUUAGCUGUGAAACCGAAGGUAAUCAGACAACGGCUCAGAGUCCAAAGGUAAUGGACCCCCUAAAGGAUCUUAUUUCAUAGCAUCCGCUGCUUUUUGUUUGUUUGUUUAAUCCUGACAGCUGCCAAGAAUUUACACACCCUAAAAUAGCACUAUAAAAGCAACACAUGCAAUCAAAAUAUUGAAAAAUAUCUUGCUCAUUAAAUUAGUGGGGCCUCCUAGAAAAACAAUGCUGAAAGAAGGACUUUAAAGUUCUUGCUUGGGUACAAGAUGGCGUCUGGGGAGACCGUGAAGGCUAACACAAAACACUUGGGGCCCUCUGAUGCCUGUUUUGUUUUUAUCGUCCUGUCUGCAUGAGAGUACUUAAAGGAAGGAGCAGGGUUUGCGGUUGUUUUUCUGCAGUGUUCGGGUCAAGGCCAUAAAUACCAGACAUCAGGAAAAACAAGGACUGAACUGGGAGUGUGGAUUGCAGGGGAGCCUUGACCAGAACACACACUUAGACUAUAAACACCCUAGGACAAAGAUGCCACCCCCAGGUGGGAUCACAGUAGUCAGAGAAAACCAGAAAGGACUGCUUGGAGGCGGUGGUUUCUGUGACAAAAGCUUUGGGAAAUGCGCAUCCCCACAGAGGGGGAGGGCAGCACGCGAGGCCUGGAGGGGAGAGUGGGUUCUGCCUGGCAAGUCCGGAAGGGACCACCGACUCCCGUGGCUGUCUUUGGUCUUCAUUCCAGAACUUUCCAGCCCAUCUAUCCUGGAAUAGUAGCUUGGCUCUGGUAAUUUGAGAUUGCUUGCAUUGGAUGUAACAUAACACAGAGAGUAUAAAUCUCCCUUUUAACAGCAAUGCCGUGCCUUAUUUUGAGGGAAUAAAUCACAUACCACAUUUAUAUAAUAACCCUGA